UACAGAGGGGGCAAGCGUUAUUCGGAAUUAUUGGGCGUAAAGGGCGCGUAGGCGGCUUGGCAAGUGGAUGGUGAAAUCCCUCGGCUUAACCGAGGAACUGCCAUCCAGACUGCUUUGCUUGAGGCCGGGAGAGGUGAGUGGAAUUCCCAGUGUAGCGGUGAAAUGCGUAGAUAUUGGGAGGAACACCAGUGGCGAAGGCGGCUCACUGGACCGGUUCUGACGCUGAGGCGCGAAAGCUAGGGUAGCAAACGGG
rnacentral:rRNA from 1 species